GUGUGUUAUUUUUAUUUCUAGUUAAGUUUUAUCUGAUCAAUGUAAGGAAUGCACGAAGAUUCACUGAUGCCACAGGGAGAUCAAUUUACAUCACAAAAGCAGUUAGACAUUGCUACAUCUGUUAUUUUGCCAGGAAUUCCCCCAAGUACAACUUUUGCUAGACGGUCUUUCCUGAAACCAUCUGAAAUCAUGAGUCAGUAUGUGCCAGCUGUAUUUAAGACCAAAGGCUUAAUGUAUCCACAUCUGGGGUAGGAGUCAGAUGUAAAACAAGCCCAACAUUGCCUUGGAAGUUCUAUAGGUUGCCAUGGAGACCAGGUGAUGCACACAUGCAAAUUCAGUGGCCGUGCAGAAGUUUCAAGAUCAGGGCGAGGGAAAAGACAGACAGUAAAUGACACUGCAGAGGCAACACUAACAAGCAAGGUUCUGCAGGGGCUGAACAUCAUAUUCAUCAAACUUUGGAGUUUGCCCUCAGAGAUCCCCCUCCUGGAGCAGGGGAAUUCCUGAUCUAUCGACUUCUGUGUCAAUAUUCAGAACUACAGUCAGGAGGACCGGCUUGUUUUCCCUUCUUCUCCAUACUCAAGAUGACACUAUAAUGAGAGAGUUGGCUGCAAAAUCCCUUACAAGAGAUGAUGGUCAUCACAGUCAGAGAUAUGUCAAAGCACAGGCAGUGCAGCCUGGGUGGAAAUGUGGUUUGGAAAUUCAGAAGGAGUUUACCACUUUGAUAACAGAUGCAUUGUGUCAUUUCUUCUGGUGGUCAUUUUGACAUCGAAGCAUUAACCUUGGAUUUUGCUAUUUCUUUUUAAUUUUAAUUCCCUUCUAUUUGGCCUUAUUAUUAAUCCUGAGAAGGCUUUUUUUUCUUUUUCAAAAAACACAAAUAUUUGGUAUUGAUCUUACCAGGGAGAACAGAAGAGUAUGGCCAUGUUACCUGAGAGGAGUUAGUGCUAUUGCAGCAUAGGGUGGAACAAUUGAGGCUUCAUUUGUGCAGGGAGAGAAUUCAGUCUUCUUCAAAGCUGAUCUCUCUGUGUGUGUGUGUGUGUGUGUGUGUGUGUGUGUGUGUGUGUGUGUGGUGUGUUUGUGUGUAUCUGCCUAAAAGCUAACACCAGGAUCUCAUUUUAUCUGUAAUUGAAACGUGAACUAAUGGAUUAAUAUUAUUAGUCUGUCACCUAUAGACAAAAAGAGAGUCUUCGGUGAUCAGAAAUCAACUUAAUAUACUCUAAGCACUUUUAACAUCUUACACCAUUUAAACCACACAGACACACGCAUGGGGUGAGUGUAAAAACAAAUAGACACAUCAUAGAAGACAAUUAGCAAUUUUGUCAGAAGUCUUAAAAUAUAUUUCCACUAUGCAUUCAUAUUUCACUUCUAAAAAUAUAUCCUAAGGAAAUAAUUUCAAUGCUGCAGUUAACUAUUGCUUCUGCCUGCCCUGGAAAGGUUGUUCCUUCUGCUACUGGCACCCAAAUUCCCUUUGGGAAUGUCUCUCUUGCCCACUCUCCAUCCAUGUGUUUAGGUGGGGCCAAUGCCUUCCUCUGCUCAGAGAGCAGCCCCAGUGUCAGGUCUAAGAAAUUAGUGAAUUUCAUCGUUUUGCAUUGUAAUCUGUUCAAAGCUGAGAAUAAGGAUCAGUUAAAUUCUAAGCCAGGGAUGUCCCAGAACGUUAAUAGAACUGUGGAAAUAAGGUCUCUUUUUAAUUACAUGUAUUGCUGGAAGGAUAUGAGCUUGGAAAGGUAGGGUACCACCACACGGAGAGAACCUAGCUAAAAAUGUAUCUGUCACAGAAAAUAGUAGGGCUGAGCACGUGAACCUAGGAUGGACUCCAGGCCUCUCUCACCGUCAGCUAGAAUCUUGGCUUGAGGAAGACAGACUUUCUAUGUGCAAUGCUGUGUCUCUGCUACCAAGAAUGUCACUUGGGAAAUGCUCAUAAAUGUCUGUGGGAUAAAGACUUUGGGGAACAAAAUCCUGAUGAGGCCCCUUGAGUACCUCAACGAAGCCAUUUCUGAAGCCAAUGUACUCCUUUCCAGUUAUGACAGUUAACAUAUUCUUGUGUGGGUGUGUGUUUGUUUUCUAGCUUAAGCCAGCUUGAAUUGGGUUCAUAACAAAUAAACAUUUCAAAUACAAGAAAU
rnacentral:lncRNA from 1 species